rnacentral:tRNA from 1 species
UAUACUUUAGUAUAUGAUGUACAUAGGUUUUUGAUACCUGGAGUAAUAGUUAGAAUCUAUUAGGUAUAU